rnacentral:snRNA from 1 species
GCACUCAUUUGGCAGCACAUAUACUAAAAUUGGAAUGAUACAGAGAUUAGCAUGGCCCCUGAACAAGGAUGACACGCAAAUUUGUGAAGCAUUCCAUAUUUAA